CGCUCUGUGAGUUUGGAAACUCCAGCUCUGAGAAGGAGCUGCGCCUCAAAGGCGGGGCUAGGUCCAACCAGGCGUUUUGCACAGCUGAAUGGUUGCCACGGGAGAUUAAAGGAUUCCUCAA